rnacentral:rRNA from 1 species
GAUGAACGCUAGCUACAGGCUUAACACAUGCAAGUCGCGGGGCAGCAUGGGGGUUGCUUGCAAUCCCCGAUGGCGACCGGUGCACGGGUGAGUAACGCGUAUUCAACCUGCCCUUCACCACGGGAUAACCCGGCGAAAGUCGGACUAAUACCGUAUGUUGUCCAUUGACGGCAUCCGAUUUGGACGAAAGGCUUGGCGGUGAGGGAUGGGGAUGCGUCCGAUUAGCCAGACGGCGGGGUAACGGCCCACCGUGGCUACGAUCGGUAGGGGUUCUGAGAGGAAGGUCCCCCACACUGGAACUGAGACACGGUCCAGACUCCUACGGGAGGCAGCAGUGAGGAAUAUUGGUCAAUGGGCGUAAGCCUGAACCAGCCAAGCAGCGUGCAGGAUGACGGCCCUAUGGGUUGUAAACUGCUUUUAUGCGGGGAUAAAGUGGCCCACGUGUGGGCUUUUGCAGGUACCGCAUGAAUAAGGACCGGCUAAUUCCGUG